UACAGAGGUCCCAAGCGUUGUUCGGAUUCACUGGGCGUAAAGGGUGCGUAGGUGGCCAGGUAAGUUCGGUGUGAAAGCUCGGAGCUUAACUCCGAAAUGUCAUUGAAUACUAUCUGGCUGGAGGGUCGGAGGGGAGACUGGAAUUCUCGGUGUAGCAGUGAAAUGCGUAGAUAUCGAGAGGAACACCAGUGGCGAAGGCGGCCUUCUGGACCAGCACUGACACUCAAGCACGGAAAGCGUGGGGAGCAAACAGG
rnacentral:rRNA from 1 species